rnacentral:rRNA from 1 species
CCCUUAGAUGUUCUGGGCCGCACGCGCGCUACACUGUUCGACGCAGCGAGUCUUAACCUUGACCGAAAGGUUUGGGUAAUCUUCAGCAAAGUCGAACGUGAUGGGGAUCGAUCAUUGCAAUUAUUGAUCGUGAACGAGGAAUUCCUAGUAAGUGCAAGUCAUCAGCUUGCGCUGAUUACGUCCCUGCCCUUUGUACACACCGCCCGUCGCUACUACCGAUUGAAUGGUUUAGUGAGAUCUCUGGAUUGACGCUGGCUAGGGGGUGACCCUUGGCCAGACUGCUCGAGAAACUGCUCAAACUUGAUCAUUUAGAGGAAGUAAAAGUCGUAACA